GAUGAACGCUGGCGGCGUGCCUAAUACAUGCGAGUCGAGCGAACAGACGAGGAGCUUGCUCCUCUGACGUUAGCGGCGGACGGGUGAGUAACACGUGGAUAACCUACCUAUAAGACUGGGAUAACUUCGGGAAACCGGAGCUAAUACCGGAUAAUAUAUUGAACCGCAUGGUUCAAUAGUGAAAGACGGUUUUGCUGUCACUUAUAGAUGGAUCCGCGCCGCAUUAGCUAGUUGGUAAGGUAACGGCUUACCAAGGCAACGAUGCGUAGCCGACCUGAGAGAGGGAUCGGCCACACUGGAACUGAGACACGGUCCAGACUCCUACGGGAGGCAGCAGUAGGGAAUCUUCCGCAAUGGGCGAAAGCCUGACGGAGCAACGCCGCGUGAGUGAUGAAGGUCUUCGGAUCGUAAAACUCUGUUAUUAGGGAAGAACAAAUGUGUAAGUAACUAUGCACGUCUUGACGGUACCUAAUCAGAAAGCCACGGCUAACUACGUG
rnacentral:rRNA from 1 species